CAUGCACCAAUGCUCUGACCUUACGGGAAGAGUGCAUUUAUUAGAACAAAACCAAGCGACCUUGGUCGUGUUUUGUUGACUCAGAAUAACUAAGCUGAUCGCAUAGGUUCAUCCUGGCGACGUGUCUUUCAAGUAUCUGCCUUAUCAACUUUCGAUGGUAGUGUAUCUGCCUACCAUGGUGGUGACGGGUAACGGAGGAUAAGGGUUUGACUCCGGAGAAGGGGCCUGAGAAAUGGCCACUACGUCUAAGGAUGGCAGCAGGCGCGCAAAUUACCCACUCUCAGAACGAGGAGGUAGUGACGAAAAAUAACGAGACCGUUCUCUACGAGGCCGGUCAUCGGAAUGGGUACAAUCUAAACCCUUUAACGAGUAUCUAUGAGAGGGCAAGUCUGGUGCCAGCAGCCGCGGUAAUUCCAGCUCUCAAAAUGCAUAGAAUUAUUGCUGCGGUUAAAAAGCUCGUAGUUGGAUCUGUGCUAGGGACUUGGUCCACCUUCGGGUGCGCACUGAGCUCCCCGGCUUUUGCUGCCGGUUUUCCCGUCAUGGCUUUCAUCGGCUGUGGCGGGUGGCUGGUGAUUUUACUUUGAACAAAUCAGAGUGCUUCAAACAGGCGUUUCGCUUGAAUGUUCGUGCAUGGAAUAAUAGAAGAGGAUUUCGGUUCUAUUUUAUUGGUUUUAUAGACUGAAAUAAUGGUUAACAGAGACAAACGGGGGCAUUCGUAUCGCUGCGUGAGAGGUGAAAUUCUUGGACCGCAGCGAGACGAACUACAGCGAAAGCA
rnacentral:rRNA from 1 species